AGAGUUUGAUCCUGGCUCAGGAUUAACGCUGGCGGUAUGUAUAAUACAUGCAAGUCGAACGGCCCUUCGGGGCAGUGGCGAACGGGUGAGGAACACGUUGGAAGUUUCCCAGUACUCAGGGAUACCCCGCAGAAAUGCGGGUUAAUACCGGAUGGUCUCGUAAGAGUAAAGCUUUUGCGGUACUGGAGACGCCUGCGUCCUAUCAGCUAGUUGGUGAGGUAAUGGCUCACCAAGGCUAUGACGGGUAACUGGUCUGAGAGGACGGCCAGUCACAAUGGGACUGAGACACGGCCCAUACUCCUACGGGAGGCAGCAGUAAAGAAUCUUCCGCAAUGGGGGCAACCCUGACGGAGCGAUACCGCGUGAAUGAUGAAGGUCUAUUGAUUGUAAAGUUCUUUUCUGGAGGAAGAAUUCUGACGGUACUCCAGGAAUAAGCACCGGCUAACUUCGUGCCAGCAGCUGCGGUAAUACGAAGGGUGCAAGCGUUAUCCGGAAUUAUUGGGCGUAAAGCGUCCGCAGGUGGUUUGUUAAGUCAAAUGUUAAAUAUUAAAGCUCAACUUUAAACUUGUAUUUGAAACUGGCAGACUAGAGAGCUUCAGAGGUACGUGGAAUUUUGUGUGUAGGGGUUAAAUCCGUAGAUACACAAAAGAACAUCAAAAGCGAAGGCAACGUACUGGGAAGUUUCUGACACUCAUGGACGAAAGCGUAGGUAGCGAACGGGAUUAGAUACCCCGGUAGUCUACGCUGUAAACGAUGGAUACUAGGUGUUGGGGGACUCGACCCCCUCAGUGCCAAAGCUAACGCAUUAAGUAUCCCGCCUGUGGACUACGAGCGCAAGCUUAAAACAUAAAGGAAUAGACGGGGACCCACACAAGCGGUGGAGCAUCUGGUUUAAUUCGACAGUGAGCGAGGAACCUUACCUAGGUUUGACAUCCCGAGAAUCUUCUAGAAAUAGAGGAGUGCCUUACGGAACUCGGAGACAGGUGCUGCAUGGUUGUCGUCAGCUCGUGCCUUGAGGUGUUCGGUUAAGUCCGUAAACGAGCGCAACCCAUGUCCUAUGUUGUAAUUCUCAUAGGAGACUGCCGAUUCAAAGUCGGAGGAAGGUAUGGAUGAGGUCAAAUCAGCAUGGCCCUUAUACCUAGGGCUACACGGAUGCUACAAUGGUCGGUACAAUGGGCAGCAAUAUCGUAAGAUGGAGCCAAUCCCUAAAACCGAUCUCAGUUCAGAUUGAGAGCUGCAAUUCGCUCUCAUGAAGUUGGAAUCGCUAGUAACCGCGGAUCAGCAAUGGCGCGGUGAAUAUGUUCCUGGGUCUUGUACUCACCGCCCGUCAUGCUAUGAGAGGUGGGAGCACCCAAAAUAUCCUUAGCCGCAAGGCGGGGUCCUAAGGUGAUACCACUGAUUGAAGUAAAGUCGUAACAAGGUAACC
rnacentral:rRNA from 1 species